ACGCUCGACACCUACGGGAGGCAGCAGUUGGGAAUAUUGGACAAUGGAGGGAACUCUGAUCCAGUGACGCCGCGUGAAGGAAGAAGGUCUUCGGAUUGUAAACUUAUUUUAUCAGGGAAGAAAGAAAUGACAGUACCUGAAGAAGAAGGACCGGCUAACUACGUGCAAGCAGCCGCGGUAAUCUGAGGCGGGCUGGCAAGGC
rnacentral:rRNA from 1 species